rnacentral:rRNA from 1 species
GACGAACCGUACGAACGUUAUUCGGAAUUACUGGGCUUAAAGGGUGCGUAGGCUGCGCAGUAAGUUGGGUGUGAAAUCCCUCGGCUUAACCGAGGAACUGCGCCCAAAACUACUGUGCUCGAGGGAGACAGAGGUGAGCGGAACUUAGGGUGGAGCGGUGAAAUGCGUUGAUAUCCUAAGGAACACCCGUGGCGAAAGCGGCUCACUGGGUCUCUUCUGACGCUGAGGCACGAAAGCUAGGGUAGCGAACGGG